rnacentral:rRNA from 1 species
AUUGAACGCUGGCGGCAGGCCUAACACAUGCAAGUCGAGCGAGCGGCGGACGGGGGAGUAAUGUAUGGGGACUGCCCGAUAGAGGGGGAUAACUACUGGAAAAGGCGGCUAAUACCGCAUACUAACGGAUAACCCUUAUGGGAUUAGCUAGUAGGUGGGGUAAAGGCUCACCUAGGCGACGAUCUAUAGCUGGUCUGAGAGUAUGAGCAGCCACACUGUGACUGAGACACGGCCCAGACUCCUGCGGAGGCAGCAGUGGGGAAUAUUGCACAAUUGGCGCAAGCCUGAGGCAGCCCUGCCGCGUGUAUGAAGAAGGCCUUAGGGUUGUAAAGUACUUUCAUCGGGGAGGCGUUACCCGCAGAAGAAGCACCGGCUAACUCCGUGCCAGCAGCCGCGGUAAUUC